UACGUAGGGUGCGAGCGUUGUCCGGAAUUACUGGGCGUAAAGAGUUCGUAGGCGGUUUGUCGCGUCGUUCGUGAAAACUUGGGGCUUAACUCCAAGCGUGCGGGCGAUACGGGCAGACUUGAGUACUACAGGGGAGACUGGAAUUCCUGGUGUAGCGGUGAAAUGCGCAGAUAUCAGGAGGAACACCGGUGGCGAAGGCGGAUCUCUGGGCCAUUACUGACGCUGAGGAGCGAAAGCGUGGGGAGCGAACAGG
rnacentral:rRNA from 1 species